rnacentral:pre_miRNA from 1 species
AAGAUUUGGUCAAAGUCAAACUUUGUAAAAUUUGACCAACUUUAUAAAAAAAAUAUUAACAUCUACAAUACUAAAGCUAUAUGGUAUGAAAAAUUAUUUCAUGGUGCAUCUAACCAUACUGAUUUCAUAUUGUGAAUCUUGAUAUAUUUUUCUAUAAACUUAGUCAAAUUAACAAAGUUUGACUUUGACCAAACCUUA